CUUCCUUUCGUGUUUUGAUAUCUUGUUGUUUUGCUACUCUCACUUCGGAGUUCGGAUGGUGUCUAGCAACGUUGGGUACCUCGUUUCUUGUGUGAGCCAGUGGUUGCUGUUUACGACGUGUUCAUAUAUCGAUUUGUAGCGCUGUAAUGUGCAAAUUAGCGGACUUUAUAGCGGCUCCCUGUUUUCCGUCGUUGUCUUUCGAGCAGCGCCUGUUGUUGCGGUAAAAAUCGAGUUGAAUGAAUCGCCACAGCCCCAACGUAUAUCGCGCAGUGUUGACCAACACCAAGUCUAGCAGGAAUUCUGGCAUGGUAUGUGGCUGCACGGAGGAUUCCGAAAAAGAAAAACAACAACAUGGCUAAUAGGAUGUUGCUGCCCAGGGAGUCCUGGCGAAGAGGUUUACUCAUUCCAGAAGCAAGAAUUGUAUCAUUGUAAGGCGAAUGGAAAUAAACUGACAUCGACUGAGAUAGGUGUUCUGUCAUGGCCAGUGACUGUAGGAUGGCUCCAAAAGCGUCACAACAAAGCCAAUAUUCAUCUAGCUCUCUACAAGUAGCUAACU